rnacentral:tRNA from 1 species
GGGGGCGUAGUUCAAUGGAAGAGCGCAUGCUUUGCACGCAUGAAGCUGUCGGUUCGAGUCCGACCGUCUCCA